GUUUUCACCAUACUGGAAUCCUGAAGUAGUGCAGACCAAUCUACAAAUACAGGAAGAUAUUGACCGUCAAUUUGCACCAACGCAAAGACCAAGAUUUGAUUUGCAGCAACAGCGAGUGAUAUCAGGCAGUCAAAUGAUGGAAAUGGCAAUGCAAAGAAUGGAGAACGCAGCAAUGGCGAAGGCUGUGAGAAAUGUUUCGUUUCCAGCAACGGAAACUAAAAACAUCUAUAGAAGAUCGCGCUUUAGAAUAAAUGGAAGACGUCAAAAUG